CGGGACGACAGUGCCUAGCAGAGGAGCUUCACUGCCGGUGAGGGAUUACCUCAGGUUAGGCUUUAAUGUUUCGUUGCCGUCUAGAGACGUUCUAGCAAUGUGACAUCUGUGUACCAUAUCUGGAAGUCUCCCUGUACGUCAAGAGCCCCUUAGGGGAGUCUCCCAUUGCCGCCGUGGGAACCUGUGUUUACAUUACGAGGAGAGAGAAUAGCUGUACUCUGAACUCAAACGCUCAAAACAUGCAGUGAGCGAAUGCUAGCAUAAUUUUCUUGCCUCUACCAGAAGGAAGGCUGGGUAUUUAGGAAACAGAACGCGUUGGGCACAACAUUCUGAGAAAAUGGACACAGAAAAUUAGGUUAUCCUAAUAGAAAAGCAGUUGCAUCUCCCAAAGUCAAGAGAUUCUGUAGGACUUCCGAUGUAUCUCCUGCUGUGUAAAAUAUUCAGGUUCCUGAAGUGGGGGACAUUUUUAGGGCAACUGUAAUUUCUUCAUUUUUUCCAUCCCACAAGUGCUGGAGGCAGCAGUGAUCUGAGCUCUAGAAAGUGACUGUCCGUCACCAUCGAAACUUCCUUCUACUACUUAAAGUCCUCACAUUGGGCUGACCUGGGAAACAUGAAGAUAAAAAGAGUGGGUAAACAUGCCUGCUUGAUGAGCCAGAAAAAAAGGCAGAAACCUGUGGUCUGGGUAGAACAGAUCCUGCUCAGAAUGUAAGCUUCAAACAUGUUUAUCAUGCCUUGGUUCAACCUAACUCUCUGACAUGUUCCUAAACUCCUGCUCUCUCAAGUUAUGUCCCUUUCCUCUUUUCAAAUAUCUCUCAGAAUUCACCCUUUCGGGAACCUUUGCUGAUUGACUCCUAUUUUAUUUGAAUUCUGCAUCAUCAUCUGAUUACUUAAAUUAACCUGUACCUUCUUUAUUUAUACUUGUUAACUUCUAUUUUCAUUGCUCUUAGGUCCUCAGUCUUUCUCACUAUACGGAGAGCUUCUUAAAGUCUGUAUUUUCUCCUCUUUAGUAUCAUUCACUCAUUCAUCCAGCAAACUGCUUGUGUGCCUGCUCUGUGCUAUACACUCUUCUAGACACUGGGUCAGGUAUGAAUGAGACAGGUGAAUAAAGCAUGGUCUUUUCCCUCAGGGACCUUACAGUCUAAUGAGGAAAAAACGUGUGCAGACAUAUAUAAGAUAAGUGAGAGAGUCGGAGAAGAACAUCAGAAGUGAUAUUUGAGCAUAGUAAGGUCAAAGAAGUUUCAAAGUUUAGUCAUUUGUCCAUUCAGUAACUAUUUAUAGAGCAUCUUCUGUGUGCUAGGCACUAUAUAAGAAAUUAAGGGGCUGGGUGUGGUGGCUCAUGCCUGUAAUCCCAGCACUUCGGGAGGCUGAGGCAGGUGAAUCACCUGAGGUCAGGAGUUCGAGACCAGCCUGGCCAACAUGGUGAAACCCCGUCUCUACUAAAAAUACAAACAUUAGCCAAGUGUAGUGGCGCAUGCCUGUAAUCCCAGCUACCCUGGAGGCUUAAGCAGAAGAACCGCUGGAACCCAGGAGAAGAAGGCUACCAUGAGCCGAGAUUGCACCAUUGCACUCCAGCCUGGGCGACAGUGAGACUCUGUCUCAAAAAAAAAAAAAAGAAAGAAAGAAAGAAAUAAAAAAAAAAGAAAUUAAGGAUACACAGAAGAAAAGGCAUGGUCUGUGCCCUGAAGGAGCUUACAGUUAAGCAGAGAAGUUGCACGAUUUGGAAGUAGUAAGGUAAAUUGAGUCAGAUUUUGAAAGGCAAUGUAGAGCUGUUAGAAGUUUAUUCGCACAGGUAGCCAGGCACAGUGGCUCAUGCCUGUAAUCCCAGCACUUUGGGAAGCCAAGGUGGCAGAUCACUGGAGGUCAGGAGUUCAAGACCAGCCUGGCCAACACAGUGAAACCCCAUCUCUACUACAAAUACAAAAAUUAGCCAGAUAUGGUGGCAUAUGCUUGUAAUCCCAGCUACUCGGGAGGCUGAGGCAGGAGAAUCGCUUGAAUCCGGGAGGCAGAGGUUGCAGUGAGCCGAGAUCGUGCCACUGCAGUCUAGGCUGGGCAAACAGAGCCAGACUCUGUCUCAAAAAAGAAGUUUAUUCAGACAGGUAAUGUGAGAGAGAACUAGUGAUGGUGAAGGAAGAGGGCUAGCUGGAGUGGGUAAAGACUGGAGAAAGGGAUCCUAAUCAGAAAACUAUGAUGAGGGUUUGAUUACACAGGAAAGAAGGCGAGAAGGGGCAGAUAUGUGAAAUACAUCCUCCUAAACCAAGUCAGAGCAACUGGAGAGGGAGGUGGAGCAGUUAGCAAUCGGAAGCAUUCAAGUUUCAUUCAGGGUAUAAACCAGGAAAAGUUGUUCUGGCCCCUCAUCUGGUUUCAUGAAGGACAAUAUCUAGCAUGAGAGUGACAGGGGUUAGAAUAAUGGACAUUUUGGGGACUGGGUCCUAGCAGAAAUGAUGGAAUAAUGGAACAGGAGUUUGGAUGAAUGGGCAUAUUAUGGGAUUAAAGAAGAUUUGAAUACAAGCUUUCCUAAUAAAUGAAAGGGGAGGUGAAACUAGAGCAUGCUGAUGGCUGCACAGCAUUGUGAAUGCACUAAAUGCACUAACUGUCCACUUUAAAAUGUUUAGUAAUAUGUCGAUUUUACCUAAAUAAAAAAAAGGAAGCAACAUAGUGAGUCAUCGUCUCUAUAACAAUUUUAUUCAG
rnacentral:lncRNA from 10 species